AUUGAACGCUGGCGGCAUGCUUUACACAUGCAAGUCGAACGGCAGCGGGGAGGAGCUUGCUUCUCUGCGGGCGAGUGGCGAACGGGUGAGUAAUACAUCGGAACGUGUCGAGAAGAGGGGGAUAACCACCCGAAAGGGUGGCUAAUACCGCAUAAAUUCUGAGGCAGAAAGCUGGGGACCUAGGAAUAGGCCUAGCGCUUUUUGAGCGGCCGAUGUCGGAUUAGCUAGUUGGUGAGGUAAAGGCUCACCAAGGCGAAGAUCUGUAGCCGGUCUGAGAGGAUGAUCGGCCACACUGGGACUGAGCCACGGCCCAGACUCCUACGAGAGGCAGCAGUGGGGAAUUUUGGACAAUGGGGGCAACCCUGAUCCAGCCAUGCCGCGUGUAUGAAGAAGGCCUUAGGUUUGUAAAGUACUUUUGUUAGGGAAGAACAGUCAGCUGUGAAUAAUGGCUGAUACUGACGGUACCUAAAGAAUAAGCACCGGCUAACUACGUG
rnacentral:rRNA from 1 species